rnacentral:RNase_P_RNA from 1 species
GGACAUACGAUCGCGGCUGGCACAUGCCAGGUGAGGAAAGUCCGGGCUUCGCAGGGCAGGAUGCCGGAUAACGUCCGGCAGGGGUAACCCUCGGGAAAGCGCAACAGAAAAAAACCGCCGCUAUGCGGUAAGGGUGAAAAGGCAGUGUAAGAGACUACCGCCUGGCUGGUAACAGGCAGGGCAUAUGCAAGCCCCAUCCGAAGCAAGACCAAACGAAGGCUAUACGGUUGCCCGCCGUGCCUCAGGUAGGUCGCUUGAGCCAUGUGGCGACACAUGGUCUAGACAGAUGAUCGUACACGACAGAACCCGGCUUAUCGUUCUGCCG